UAUUGAAAACGUAGUUGUUUUCCCACGCUGCUAGACAAGAUGCGAAGAUAGAAAAAACUUUGUAUUAAUAUAAUUUGAUGUGGGAGCUUUAAGCACCUCAUAUUACAGUCGUGGACGAACACCUCACUGCUACUCCGCUGAUGGACAGGCAUUGGCAUGUUCAGGCUCUUUAGAUGCUUCCUCAUACGUUAACAGGAUGGAAAGGAAAAGCUGCAGUUUUAUGACCAUGCCACAGAUACUGGCUCUGUGCUAUCUGGCUUUGCUCAGGGUCAGAGAGGCCAUCACUCUAGCUGACUUGCUAAGAUGAAAGAAAGUCGCACCUUGGAUGGCAUGAGGGAUGGUGUCAGAGAGAUGUGUUCUUCUGUUCGUGACCUAAACCUUCAUGAGGAUUUUCCUGCAGAGAUGAAAAUAUUUGGAAGAGACACCCAGAUCUUUUGAGGUGUGGUUGAACAUUUGCAGCACAGAUUUCAGAAAUUAACUGACUCUGAUCCGGCACAAACUUCUUCCACCACAGACUCUUUCUCCAGCUUUUACUUCCACUGGGACAAAGAGGAGUUUUGGCUGGACCCAGUAUGCAUCACCAUUGGUUGGAUUGUACCUUGACGAAUGGACAGGUCAAGUGCCUCACCAACUGAAAAUACUGGCAUUCUGACCUCAGGCCCUGUCCACCAAAGUGAGCCUUGUGUAUAUAUACCAGCAAUCUAUCUCACAAUGUCCAAAUAUCAGCCCAAUAAUCAGCUAUUUUCUUUUGUUAAAUCACAAACUGUACAAGAAUGUAUUCUUUUUAUAAUUUGGAAUACCAUUUUGAAUCGCUUGUGAAGAAAAGUAAUCCUUUUACCAGCAGACCCAAAUCCAGCCUUCUUUUGGCAACACUUUGAAGUUCUCUAGCUGAAGUUAGCCCUUUUUAGAGCCUGUCUAAUUUGGCUAGCUUCUACCAAGAGACAGAAUUAUUUGCACCAAAUACCGUUGAAUUUCAAUGGACAUAUGGGACUUACACGCCAAAAGAUGUGGGGAAUGUUUUCUUCUCCCUUUUAAAAAUGAAUAAGCCUAUUUUUUCUGCUAUCUAUGCUCACUAUGCACAAUUAUAUGGUUAUUUGCAUUUUAUUAUUUGCAUUAAGCUUUGUUUUUUGCCUGCUGUUCACCGUCCAAUCUGAACAGACCUGCGUUUUGGGUCGUGACCCACCCCCUUCAGAUCCACUGUACUAUUGAAGAUUCUGGCUUAUUUGGCACUUUCAAACAAUACACAAGGUAAACUAUAGAUCUUUUUUCUCAUAUAGGCUUUGUGGCGAUCAUUUCUCAGAAAUCGAGCCCAGCUUGCCCAGGACAUAUGUGUGGCUGAUGGAUUUCUUCUAAUUUCUGCUGGUAGUCCGUCAAACACUAGUGCACAGAGAGGUCCUUAAUGUAGAGCGGCGUGUCCUAAAAAGAAAACGAGAAACUCAUCCAUGGCUAUAAUGACUCUCCCUCCCUGCAAUAAAAGGAAAACAU